rnacentral:lncRNA from 1 species
AUAGGAGAAGAGCGGCGCAUGGCUUGGGGAGACGGAGCCGCGUCGCAGAGCUCCUCCUUGCCGUGCUUGAGCUUCCUUUUCCGAAGCUCAUCCCUGUCGUGCUCUAGCUCCCCGUCCUCCUCCGCGCCGGUGGAGGGAGGUAGGAGAGGGGCGGCGUGGCCCGUCGGAGGAGGGAGGUAGGGAAGGAUGGGCGGCCCCCUGGCGGAGGGAGGUAGGGGAGCACGACGCGCGCCCCCACCGGUGGAGGGAGGGAGGAGAGGGGCGGCCCGUCAGUGAAGGGAGGCGGGGAAGGAUGAAGUGCGCCUGCCAGAUGAGGGGGGAGGGAGAGAAGGGCGCCAGCGGAGGAAGGCAGGGGAGGACGGCGUGCGCCCGCCAGUGGAGGGAGGCAAGGGAUGACGGCGCGGGUGGCCGUUAGAGGGGGCGCGGAGGAGAAAUCGGGCGGAUUCGUCUUGGGGGCGGCGGACCGGCGACUUGGGUGCGGCGAACCGGCGGGGGAGGGCGCGGCCGACGGUGGUUGGGCGUGGCCGCCGACGUGGAGGACUGAUCUAGCAGCGGCGGGGUUGGGGUUGGACGGGUCUGGCGACGGGGGUGCGAGCGGUCGGGACAAGGGUGCGGGGGCAAGGGCCGUUGGUGAGAAGCUGUCGCCGACGGCGUGGAGGAGGGAGGGAUCGAUG